GAUGGGAAAUGUAGUCCCAGACAGUCAGUGCGGAUUGUUACUCCGUGCGCUAUGGCUCCCAGUGAUGGGAAAUGUAGUCCCAGACAGUCAGUGCGGAUUGUUACUCCGUGCGCUAUGGCUCCCAGUGAUGGGAAAUGUAGUCCCAGACAGUCAGUGCGGAUUGUUACUCCGUGCGCUAUGGCUCCCAGUGAUGGGAAAUGUAGUCCCAGACAGUCAGUGUGGAUUGCUACUCCGUGCACUAUGGCUCCCAGUGAUGGGAAAUGUAGUCCCAGACAGUCAGUGCGGAUUGUUACUCCGUGCGCUGUGGCUCCCAGUGAUGGGAAAUGUAGUCCCAGACAGUCAGUGCGGAUUGUUACUCCAAGCGCUAUGGCUCCCAGUGAUGGGAAAUGUAGUCACAGACAGUCAGUGCGGAUUGUUACUCCGUGCGCUAUGGCUCCCAGUGAUGGGAAAUGUAGUCCCAGACAGUCAGUGCGGAUUGAUACUCCGUGCGCUGUGGCUCCCAGUGAUGGGAAAUGUAGUCCCAGACAGUCAGUGCUGAUUGAUACUCCAGGUGCUCUGGCUCCCAGUGAUGGGAAAUGUAGUCCCAGACAGUCAGUGCGGAUUGUUACUCCAUGCGCUGUGGCUCCCAGUGAUGGGAAAUGUAGUCCCAGACAGUGCGGAUUGAUACUCCGUGCGCUAUGGCUCCCAGUGAUGGGAAAUGUAGUCCCAGACAGUCAGUGCGGAUUGUUACUCCGUGCGCUAUGGCUCCCAGUGAUGGGAAAUGUAGUCCCAGUCAGUCAGUGCGGAUUGAUACUCCGUGCGCAAUGGCUCUCAGUGAUGGGAAAUGUAGUCCCAGUCAGUCAGUGCGGAUUGAUACUCCGUGCGCUGUGGCUCUCAGUGAUGGGAAAUGUAGUCCCAGACAGUCAGUGCGGAUUGAUACUCCGUGCGCUGUGGCUCUCAGUGAUGGGAAAUGUAGUCCCAGACAGUCAGUGCGGAUUGAUACUCCAGGUGCUAUGGCUCCCAGUGAUGGGAAAUGUAGUCCCAGUCAGUCAGUGCGGAUUGUUACUCCAUGUGCUAUGGCUCCCAGUGAUGGGAAAUGUAGUCCCAGACAGUCAGUGCGGGUUGUUACUCCAUGUGCUAUGGCUCCCAGUGAUGGGAAAUGUAGUCCCAGACAGUCAGUGCGGAUUGUUACUCCAUGUGCUAUGGCUCCCAGUGAUGGGAAAUGUAGUCCCAGACAGUCAGUGCGGAUUGUUACUCCAUGCGCUAUGGCUCCCAGUGAUGGGAAAUGUAGUCCCAGACAGUCAGUGCGGAUUGAUACUCCAGGUGCUAUGGCUCCCAGUGAUGGGAAAUGUAGUCCCAGACAGUCAGUGCGGAUUGUUACUCCGUGCGCUAUGGCUCCCAGUGAUGGGAAAUGUAGUCCCAGUCAGUCAGUGCGGAUUGAUACUCCGUGCGCUAUGGCUCUCAGUGAUGGGAAAUGUAGUCCCAGUCAGUCAGUGCGGAUUGAUACUCCGUGCGCUGUGGCUCUCAGUGAUGGGAAAUGUAGUCUCAGACAGUCAGUGCGGAUUGAUACUCCGUGCGCUGUGGCUCUCAGUGAUGGGAAAUGUAGUCCCAGACAGUCAGUGCGGAUUGAUACUCCAGGUGCUAUGGCUCCCAGUGAUGGGAAAUGUAGUCCCAGACAGUCAGUGCGGAUUGUUACUCCAUGUGCUAUGGCUCCCAGUGAUGGGAAAUGUAGUCCCAGACAGUCAGUGCGGAUUGUUACUCCAGGUGCUGUGGCUCCCAGUGAUGGGAAAUGUAGUCCCAGACAGUCAGUGCGGAUUGUUACUCCGUGCGCUGUGGCUCCCAGUGAUGGGAAAUGUAGUCCCAGACAGUCAGUGCGGAUUGAUACCCCAGGUGCUAUGGCUCCCAGUGAUGGGAAAUGUAGUCCCAGACAGUCAGUGCGGAUUGUUACUCCAGGUGCUGUGGCUCCCAGUGAUGGGAAAUGUAGUCCCAGACAGUCAGUGCGGAUUGUUACUCCGUGCGCUAUGGCUCCCAGUGAUGGGAAAUGUAGUCCCAGACAGUCAGUACGGAUUGUUACUCCGUGCGCUAUGGCUCC
rnacentral:lncRNA from 1 species